AUGCUCAUCAUUCUUCUCCCCUCGGAGAGACAGCUCGAGGGCCCGCGGGAGCUGCGGCCAUGCGUCCGGGUGACGGCGCGCGUCCCGCCACAAGGCCUGGAGGUCGCCCUGCUGGGCCCCGGUGCGCCCCCAGCCGUGGUUGCGGGUUCCAAGGCCUGUCCUCUGCCCCGAGCCUGGCCAAGGAUGCUUCGGGCUCAGUCCGGGCAGCGCCACCCGGCGCCUUCAGAGCACGCUGCGCCACGAACUGGGGACAGACAGUCCCAGGGGUGCGGCGUUGAAGCACAGGACGUUGUUGAGUGCGGAGCUAAAUUUCCUGCUGGAAAGUGCCGCGCUGUCUGCAGCGACGAGAAACAAUGUUUGACACGCAUGUGAAGCCGCGCUCCUGUGCCCCGCAUCGCCGCUCUGCCACCCGGACAGAUGCGGGUGGCUCGCGGGACUGGACUUCGCCAAAGCCCCAGCCGCCGGUUCUGGGGGCACCCUCUCUCCCCUCUGCCCGCCGCGCCCUCCAGCCCGCGUUCCUCCCAGAGAGCACACGAGCACUGCACAACGUUCGCUCAGACUCUCCCGCAACUGGUCCUGCGAUUGGAAAUCUGCAGCGUAUUCAAAUAGCUACAUAAUAAAUUAAGUAAUAAUUCCUGGACUUUCCGUCUUUUCUAUUUUCUACUACAGACGCAAGAAAUCUCAGAAGGGGUCUGAGAGCCCAAGUCUCCAGGUAGAGUGGAGAGGGAUGCCUGAUUUUGGAGUCUGGAGCCUCCAGCUCUGUGUCGCUUAUAAUCAAAGACAAGCCUGUUUUCUCAUUUGUACGUGACCAUCAUAAUAUCUGUUUCACAAGGUUGGCGUUUCAUGAUCCAUGCCUUUUUACAGCUCUUGCCCUCAAUGAGCAUGCCCAAGGCACCCCAUUCCCUCCCUCGUUCUCUGCCUGAAAAAGUAAUUCAGGGCCCAUCUCAUAUGUUACCUCCUCUGGAAAAAUACCCCCCACUUCUCAAGACUGGGGUUGGUGUUCCUAUCUUAGGGGUUUCUUUACCUAAUUACUGUCUUCUCUGUGUUAGUGUCACCCACUGAACAAUUCAUCUUGUAUCACCAAGACCAGCAUAGCACCUGGCACAAUGUAGGUUCUCAGUACAUGUCAUGAAUAAAUUAAUGCAUUAAAGUUUGGAUCAUUGUAUAAUGUGUGUAAGACUCGAGAACUUGGUGGGACUUCAGAAUCUUCACUAGUUCUACUGAAUUUGUCUUUCUCCUUAAAUCCAUCUCUCCUUCCUUUGUAGUUUUGAUUUUUCAGCAAUGGCAUUUAGCCCAGCUCCCAUUUUGCUCUCAUCUCUCUCUUUUCACUCCCCUUCUCCUGAUCUCAGACUGUAAAGGGCUUCCGUAGAAGGAAGCACACCCCAGCUGUCAAUCACAAAGUGGGGCUUUGGUCAGGAAUAGUCCAGGGUUUAGUUUCCAACAUUAAUGAAGUGGCUGGAACAGCAAACAUCUGCCAAAGAGCCUCAAACCUUUUCCAGCUGCUGGAGACCCACAGACACUUCCCAGCCUCCUGUGACGAGGUGCCCCGGCAGUGUCUGCCCCUCUACCGGGAGGAACACACACGGAGAGAAACAGACCCGUCUGUACCCAGCCAUUCUUGCUCAGACAGGCAGGAAAGGGGAUAAAAAUGCACACCCCCAGGAGGCUUCAGGAGCUCAGCUCCCCUCCCCCAUCUGGCGUCUCAUUCCUGGGGAUAGGGCCAGCCAGAAAGAAGGGGCAAAGACACCUGUGUAAAGUUUAAGGUUUUGACAACUAGAAACCAAAGACCUGCUCUUUCCCAUUUCAUCUGACACCCAGUGUCUCUACUCAACUAGAAUAGAUGAAAAUUUAAUAAAACAAAAUGGUAUUUAAAAAUCCUAGGGUGGCACUUUAAUUGCCUCUAGGAGCUAACCCUAGGUAAAUGAGCUCAGCUUCAUUUUUUGUGUAACUAUCAUUUUAUAACCUUGGGCAAUGUGUCAAGGUAGAUACAGAAGUGGCCAGUGCAUAAAUAAGUCUUCUGAGUAAACGAAUUCAUUCCCCAUCAUCUUUUCUCCAAGUAGGAGGGGAGCGAAAGCACUCCUUACACUCCAGUAAAGUGUGUUUAAUAACUUGUAUUUCAGUCGCUAAGUUUUGAAAUAGUUUCAGACAUGUAAAAGCAAAAUAGGGAAAGCCUUGUAAGUUAAUAUUCCCCUGGGCUCCAGGGCCAUGCCAAAACUGCUGCCUGCAGAGCCCGGCCCAGCAGUCUUGCACAAGAAGUCAAAGGAGGCAGACAAGAAAGCCAGCUUAUUUUUAAUGAUGAUAUUAAUUUACAAAAACUGCUCUCAUACUCUGUAAAGCAUCUUUUUAAGAGAGGGUACAAAUGCAGUGCACUUGACAAAUGGGCUUGGAAAUGUCUGAAUAGGUCCUUCUUUCUGGAAACAUCUUUCUGGUGGAAAAGUUUUUAAACUGGAAAAAAAAAAAGACGAUUGCUGUGUCUACAGGGCACCUAACAUUUAUGUGAAAAGUGAAAAUGCAGUGAAUCAUCCAAAUGUUUCCAAAUUUUUAGGAGCUUGGUAUAUGGAUUUAAAAAUUAAAACACACACACAUAUUUGUUUUGAGGACCUACUGUAUAGCACAGGGAACUCUGCUGAAUGUUAUGUGGGAGCCUGGAUGGGAAGGAAGUUUGGGGGAGAAUGGAUACACAUAUGUGUAUGGCUGGGUCCGUAUGCUGUCCACCUGAAACAAUCACAACAUUGUGAAUCAGCUAUACUUCAGUAUAAAAUAAAAAGUUCAAAAAACAUUUGUUUUGUUGAUUAUUUCCUUUUUAAAAUUGCUCUAUCCUAACAUUAAACAGUCUUCUUUUUCUAUUUUUUUUAACUUUUUAUUUUAUAUUGGAGUAUAUCCACCUAGCAAUGUUGUUAUAAUUUUAGGUGGACAGCAAAGGGACCCAGUCAUACAUUUACGUUUAUCCAUUCUCCCCCAACCUUCCCUUCCAUCCAGGCUAAAUAGUCUUGUUUCUGCCUAUUUUUCUCAAUUAUCCCAUUGGAUAUAGCCAGGAAAAUAAAAUUUAAGCACUCCUAUGUUUUUCAUAAUGUUGUAGAAAUGGAUUUUGAUGUUUGGGACACCACUGGUUUUGAUUUGUUCUUUUUUUGUAAAUGAUAUCCCUCACUGAUGAGGAAGCUGCCACAAGAGAGGAGAAUCAUUUUCAAUAUGUCAGAGAGCAGUGCUCUGAGCCUGGGGUAAAUGGAAAGAACUUUUGAGUCAGGCAAAUGUGUGUUCCAUUGACAGCCCAAUCAGUUAGUAAUCUCCCUGACCUCUGGUCUUCACUCACAACAUGGGAUGAUGAUAGCCAGCUCGGGUUUGCUGGAGGGUUCCAUGGAGGACUGUAUGCACUGUACCAAUUUAUGAGAAGCCGGUGUUCCCACUGCCUUUACUCUGAGUUCAAUAAAAUAAGCUAUUCACUUUAAAAACCAUCACACAUACAACUGCAUUUUUCAAAAAGCAUCUGAGCCACUGCUGUUUCAUGUGUGGGGGGAGUUGGUUGGUUUUUUGUUCAAUGUUCAGAACCUAGGAAGCAAUUUGCUUUCAAAAACCAUCACAGGGCUUCCCUGGAAGCUCAGUGAGUGGUAAAGAAUUCUCCUGCUGAUAUAGGAGAUGUGGUUUUGAUCCCUGAUCUGGGAAGAUCCCACAGGCCUUGGGGCAACUAAGUCCAUGUGCCAUAAAUAUUGAACCUGUGCUCUAGAGCCUGGGAGUUGCAACUACUGAAGCCCAUGCACCCUACAGCUUGUGGCUGGCAAAAGAGAAGCCACUGCAAUGAGCAGCCUGCUCACCUCAGUAAAGAGUAGCCCCCACUCACUGCAACUAGAUUAAAGCUGUUGUGUAUCAGUGAAGACCCAAUGCAACCAAAAAUAAAUAAAUGAACUAAUAUAUAUAUAUUUAUAUAUUUUAAAAAAUCACAAAAGGAUUUUCCUGGCAGUCCAGUGGUUAAGACUCCAAGCUUCCAAUGCAGGGGAAGUGCAAGUUAGAUCCCUAGUCAGGGAACUAAGAUCCCACAUGCCUUGUGAAGUAGCCAGAAAAAAACAUUUUUUUUAAUAGAUAAACAACAAGGAUUAGGCUAAAAAACCAUCACAAAAUACAACUGCAUAUUUUAAAAAGAGUCAGAGCCACUGCAGUUUCAUAUACGUCUGGUUUGGGCUUUUGUUCAAUGUUCAGAACCUAGGAUCAACCAAGAAAUGAAGAGGGGAGGAACCGGUCUAAGAGCAAGGGACUAUCAUUAACUGAGGGGAAUGGCGCUGGCCACCAAGCGUCCCUGAGUGCUACUCAACAUCUGGCACCUGCAGCCCAGACUCAGCACAUCUGUAUGUGUCAAUCAUCCUAACCACCACUUCACAAGAGACUGGCUCAUUUAUCAUUGCUGUUUUCUCUCUGCAAAAAAACAGUGCUAGGAUCCUGCACCCAUUGAGUGACAGCUCAGCCAAAUCAUCUCAUAAUGUAUUUUUAUUCUCUCCUCUGCCUCAAGCAGGCCUCAGUUAGGUUUCAUGUGAAUUCUCAGUAAUCUGCCCUAAUAUAGGGCCGGCCAGCAACCCACCCAGAGAGGCCAGAUUUCAAAGAGAGCGAUCAGUCGUUUGGUUGUUGGCAUGGGCUGUUGUUAUCAAGGACAGGAAGGUUCCUGUGUCAGCCAGUGCAGGGAAAGACUUGUGGAGCCAGUCUGCCUCUGACCACAUGAAGGGAAAACAACACUCGAAUGAUUAACUUGCUGGCGGGUUUGUUAUUAUGCUCUUACAGAACAAUAUUUACCAAGAACACCGGGUGCAGAGUGUCAAUCAGAACGUAAUGGCCUCUGCUCUCCAAGCUGGUAAGGAAGAGGAAGUUUGCUUGGACUCCUGGACACAGGUGCUAAUCACCCACUUGGUUCCAAGUGUAGAGGAGGUGAGUGUGCACACUUGCCAGAGCCCAGGUUCUAUACAUUUUUUAAAAUAUAGGAAUGAAUGAGUAGGAAACAACAGGAAAAGGGGAAAAUAAGAGAUAUUCAAAAACCUUGUUUCCUAAACAAAUUCAAGAAGAACCUUUAAUCUUAGAGGAGAGGGAAUAAACAGGCUUAAAAAAAAAAAGAAACAGAGGCCAAGUGAACUGUCCAGCCCAAAGUUUGACGUUUGUUUUCCUUCUCCCCUGUGCUCUUCCUAGGGUGGCAGGCUUUUAGACACAGAAAGACAUGUAGACUGUUUCCUUUUUUUUUUUUUUUUCAUUAGACUGUUUCCUUUUCUAAGGAAUAAACCACAAUUUAAAAUCUUUCUUUUGUUUAUAGGCUUUUAAGAGAAAGUUGACCUUAGUGAGUUAUUUAUGAUGAAUAUUUUUAUUAUCAGUAGA
rnacentral:lncRNA from 1 species